CUACGGGAGGCAGCAGUAGGGAAUCUUCCACAAUGGACGAAAGUCUGAUGGAGCAACGCCGCGUGAGUGAUGAAGGUUUUCGGAUCGUAAAACUCUGUUGUUAAAGAAGAACAAGUGUUAGAGUAACUGUUAACACUUUGACGGUAUUUAACCAGAAAGCCACGGCUAACUACGUGCCAGCAGCCGCGGUAAUACGUAGGUGGCAAGCGUUGUCCGGAUUUAUUGGGCGUAAAGCGAGCGCAGGCGGUUUUGUAAGUCUGCUGUGAAAGCCCUCAGCUCAACUGAGGAAGUGCAGUGGAAACUACAAAACUUGAGUACAGAAGAGGAAAGUGGAACUCCAUGUGUAGCGGUGAAAUGCGUAGAUAUAUGGAAGAACACCAGUGGCGAAGGCGGCUUUCUGGUCUGUUACUGACGCUGAGGCUCGAAAGCAUGGGUAGCGAACAGGAUUAGAUACCCUGGUAGUCCAUGCCGUAAACGAUGAAUACUAGGUGUUGGAGGGUUUCCGCCCUUCAGUGCCGCAGCUAACGCAUUAAGUUCCNCCUGGGGAGUACGACCGCANGGUUGAAACUCAAAGGAAUUGACGGGGGCCCCCACAAGUGGUG
rnacentral:rRNA from 2 species